CCCGCGCGGCAGCCCCAGCCCCUCCGGGGGGCGGGGAGGCGAGGGGGUGGUGCGGGCGCCAGAAAAGCCCGAGCCCACAGCCGGCCCGGCGCGGCGAUGGGCAGCGCGCUCUGACGCGUGUGAGCGGCGCAGCCAACUCCCGGCCGGGGCGCGGGGCGCAGCGAGCGAGCGAGCGAGCGAGCGCCGGCCUCGGACCCCGCGGCCGGAGGGCGAGGCCGCCGCGCCGGGCCCAGCGCCCUUUCUCGGCCACAGGCGUCCGUGCCCCCGGCCCGGUGCCCCGCGCCCGAUCGGGGUUCAUGGAGCCGGGGCUGUGGCUCCUGUUCGGGCUCACGGUGACCUCCGCCGCAGGAUUGGUGCCUCGCCCCCAGCCUGGGGACGCUGGCAGGAGCGGCGUGCCUGGGGCCCCGCCUGCAGCCAGAUCCGAGGGGGACAUCGAGGACCCCGUGGCCACUACAGCAGUGCAGAGUCCAAGUCCCAGAAGCCCUGGGCAGGAGCAGGAGCCAGGGCGGUUUGGGGAACAGGCGCCCCAGGGGGGUCCUGUGCACCGCCGAGCGAGGCGCUGCACGUGUUUCACCUACAAGGACAAGGAGUGCGUCUACUAUUGCCACCUGGACAUCAUCUGGAUCAACACUCCUGAACGGACCGUGCCCUAUGGACUGUCCAACUACAGAGGAAGCUUCCGGAGCAAGAGGUCCCCGGGGCCGUUCCCGCAGAGCCCACAGCCGUCCAAGCGGACGCUGCGCUGCGCUUGCGUGCGGAGUCAGGACAGCGCCUGCCUGCACUUCUGUACCCGCACCCUGGCCGUCAGCAGCUCUCUCUCCCCCCAGGAACUCAAGGACACCAGAAAAUCCUGACGAAGAGGAACAGCCAGCCGGCGGUGCCGAUGGAGGCCUGCGUCCGAGGAGAUAGGCUGAAGUCCGGGACCGACCAAGCGAGCAGGCCUUAGGCCUCUGGCAUCACGUGCUUGCCCGGCGGUGGGCCCCCCGCGCUCUGCCUCCCCCUCUGCUGUGUCAGGAACCCCUGCGGACACAGGCCAGCAGCACCCCAUUUCUGGGAGGCCUCAGUUUCCGCCUCUUCCCGGUUCACGUUCCCAGCCUCUUGGAGGACCAGGAAUGAGUUUUGCCUGGUGGGGGGAAAACCCACUCAGAAGGUCCGCACUUAACAGUACACCCCUCACCCAAGAAUGCCCCAGCCCCAACGACCCGGUUUCUCUAAUGGGUAAAAUGAUCCCAGAUGUGCCCCAGAGCCUGACGCCCGCGGCUCGGGUUUCAUGCAGGAAAUUGUUUUUGGAGCGCCGUGGCACAUCCAGCCGCUUGCUCGCUUUUGACUUCUCUUGGAGUAUAAGUGGGCUCCAGGCUGACUUUGCAAAUGUAAACACGCGUCCCCUUAUAACCGAUGCGGCGGGAGCAUGCGACGCUCCCGUCCUGACAUCCAGAAGGCACGCGCUGUGGGCUAGGGAGGGCGCCAGGCGUCGAUUUUGAAUGCGGAGCGUAGCUUUGCAGGAGUUGAGGACUUUGAAGCUUCUAGGAGGAUUUAGACAGCGAUUUUCAGGUGUGCACGGUACCCACUAAAAGAAUGUAUCUUUGAGAAAGAGAGGACGAGAGAAAAAAGAAACCUCGAUGUUUGUGACGAGAAAAGAAGAACACGAGUAUGUGUGGGCUUUGAACCCCGACACGUGCGGCUGCGAGCCUGUCCUCGAUCAGGUGACCUUCUGAGCCCUCUGCGGACAGGCAGGCCAGGCACUUCCCAGAGAGCCGCAGUAAAAGCCGCCGGCCUCCCCUCUAGGCCAUUUGGGUGAAUAUUUGCUUUCAUGAACAAAUGUGGAUCUUGGGGGAACGGCUUCAAAAUAAGCCACGAAUGCAAACUCUUUGUAAAUUAUGUAAAUUCCUAUUUAUCUAUGUAAUUGGCAACCACUGGGGAUUGUAACGCCCCGCAGGUCGCGAUCUGUUUCCGCUGUGCUUUUUACGGCCGGCCCAAGAUUACCGUGCGUAUCCGGCGAAGUAUUUGGUGCCAACGUCAUUGAUGCAGACGCCCCCCCCCUCCCACACACACACACCCGCCCCCAGCUGGCAGAGAGAUGAGAACCCACAUGGGAGGCAUGCCCAGGUCACCACGCGGGGAAAUUUAAGGUGGUGAACGACAGAGCGUUGGCCUCGACCAAAUGCUAAAUUCUGUGUGCGUUAUUUCAUGAGCUCUUACGGAUAGAAAAGGAGUACCUAUCACCCGGAAAAGGAGGGCAGUGCUUUGCUAGCAGGACUGUGUACAGUUUAGAGAAGCAACUAUUUAUUGUGAAACUCUUCAUUUCGAUUCCUUUAUGUGGAUCUGUUCAAAGUAAAGCCACUGUGUAUAUAUAGACAGACUUUAAAUUGUGUUCUGGAUCCAAACGCAUAUUCCUUAGAGCUUGAGUUACAUUUUUAAAACGCAUAGGCACCGUUUGGCUCUGUGGCAGGAUGCUAUCUUGGAGAGAAAUUCAUCCGUUGUGCUAACACUCAGAAAAUACUAACUGUCAAAUGCAUAAUAAAAAAAAAAUCUAGAAGUUUGCUCUGA